rnacentral:rRNA from 1 species
AUGCACGCUGGCGGCGUGCCUAAUACAUGCAAGUCGCGCGAACAGACGAGGAGCUUGCUCCUCUGACGUUAGCGGCGGACGGGUGAGUAACACGUGGAUAACCUACCUAUAAGACUGGGAUAACUUCGGGAAACCGGAGCUAAUACCGGAUAAUAUAUUUAACCGCAUGGUUCAAUAGUGAAAGACGGUUUUGCUGUCACUUAUAGAUGGAUCCGCGCCGCAUUAGCUAGUUGGUAAGGUAACGGCUUACCAAGGCGACGAUGCGUAGCCGACCUGAGAGGGUGAUCGGCCACACUGGAACUGAGGCACGGUCCAGACUCCUACGGGAGGCAGCAGUAGGGAAUCUUCCGCAAUGGGCGAAAGCCUGACGGAGCAACGCCGCGUGAGUGAUGAAGGUCUUCGGAUCGUAAAACUCUGUUAUUAGGGAAGAACAAAUGUGUAAGUAACUAUGCACGUCUUGACGGUACCUAAUCAGAAAGCCACGGCUAACUACGUG